rnacentral:rRNA from 1 species
AGGAAAGCAGGGGAUCGCAAGACCUUGCGCUUUUGGAGCGGCCGAUGUCUGAUUAGCUAGUUGGUGAGGUAAAGGCUUACCAAGGCUUCGAUCAGUAGCUGGUCUGAGAGGACAACCAGCCACACUGGGACUGAGACACGGCCCAGACUCCUACGGGAGGCAGCAGUGGGGAAUUUUGGACAAUGGGGGAAACCCUGAUCCAGCCAUGCCGCGUGAGUGAAGAAGGCCUUCGGGUUGUAAAGCUCUUUCAGCCGGAACGAAAAGGUUACGGUUAAUACCCGUGACUAAUGACGGUACCGGAAGAAGAAGCACCGGCUAACUACGUGCCAGCAGCCGCGGUAAUACGUAGGGUGCGAGCGUUAAUCGGAAUUACUGGGCGUAAAGCGUGCGCAGGCGGUUUUGUAAGUCAGAUGUGAAAUCCCCGGGCUCAACCUGGGAACUGCGUUUGAAACUACAAGGCU